rfam:Weissella viridescens strain DSM 20410 Scaffold1, whole genome shotgun sequence.
UAAAUAGAUAGAGGUUGCAACCGACAAAAUUAACUAAUGGAGUUUGCCAAACGGUGAAGUUAGUGAAAGGGAAGGUUGCCGAGGUGUUUUGGUUUGGGCAAAAUCAAAUGCCGGGCUAGCAAUUAAGAGUUGUUAGACUGUCACUGCUCAUACAAGUAGUGGGGAGCUGUCGUUCGU